GACGAACGCUGGCGGCGUGCUUAACACAUGCAAGUCGAACGGAAAGGCCCUGCUUUUGUGGGUUGCUCGAGUGGCGAACGGGUGAGUAACACGUGAGUAACCUGCCCUUGACUUUGGGAUAACUUCAGGAAACUGGGGCUAAUACCGGAUAUGAUCUCCUGCUGCAUGGUGGGGGUUGGAAAGUUUCGGCGGUUGGGGAUGGACUCGCGGCUUAUCAGCUUGUUGGUGGGGUAGUGGCUUACCAAGGCUUUGACGGGUAGCCGGCCUGAGAGGGUGACCGGCCACAUGGGGACUGAGAGACGGCCCAGACGCCUACGGGAGGCAGCAGUGGGGAAUAUUGCACAAUGGGCGGAAGCCUGAUGCAGAAACGCCGCGUGCGGGAUGACGGCCUUCGGGUUGUAAACCGCUUUCGCCUGUGACGAAGCGUGAGUGACGGUAAUGGGUAAAGAAGCACCGGCUAACUACGUG
rnacentral:rRNA from 1 species